rnacentral:lncRNA from 1 species
CUUUUUGUUCUUUCCUUUCUUUCUUUCUUUCUUUCUUUUUCUUCCUUCCUUUCUUUCUCUUCUUCCCCUUCUCCAUUCCUUCCUUUCUUUUCUUUUCUUCUCACUUCCUUUCUUACUUUCCUUUUUUUCUUCUUCCCUUCCUUUAUCCCUUUCUUUUCUUAUUCUUUGCUUCUGUUCUUUUUUCCUUUUUCUUCUUCUUCCCUGCUUAGAUGGGUUUGAAGUGCCACACCAUCCCAGUUGCCUAGGGAUGGCAAAAUUAAUCCGACCUGAUGGGUAUACACCCUACCUGAACCCGGUCAAAUCCGAAAAAUAGGGUUUGACUGGGUUUGGGUUCGGGUUUGGGUAAAACCCGAAAACUAUAGUAUGGGUAUGGGUAGGGUAUGGGUAGUGCUAUUUUCUAUCCGAACCCGACCCGAACCUAUGAGUAUGGAUAAUAUCCGAACCCAUAUCCGAAUACACACACACACACACACACACACAUAUAUAUAUAUACAUAUACAUAUCCGAAUAUAUAUAUACAUAUACGUAUAUAUAUAUAUAUAUAUACAUAUACAUAUAUACACACACACAC